GCUGAUAUAGCUCAGAGGUAGAGCACUUGCCUACUAUGUAUGAUGCUCCAGGUUCAAUCCCUACCAUUUGCU
rnacentral:tRNA from 1 species